AACGAACGCUGGCGGCAUGCCUAACACAUGCAAGUCGAACGAGACCUUCGGGUCUAGUGGCGCACGGGUGCGUAACGCGUGGGAAUCUGCCCUUCGGUUGGGAAUAACUGAGAGAAAUUUCAGCUAAUACCUUAUAAUGUCUUCGGACCAAAGAUUUAUCGCCGAGGGAUGAGCCCGCGUAGGAUUAGGUAGUUGGUGGGGUAAUGGCCUACCAAGCCGACGAUCCUUAGCUGGUCUGAGAGGAUGAUCAGCCACACUGGGACUGAGACACGGCCCAGACUCCUACGGGAGGCAGCAGUGGGGAAUAUUGGACGAUGGGCGAAAGCCUGAUCCAGCAAUGCCGCGUGAGUGAUGAAGGCCUUAGGGUUGUAAAGCUCUUUUACCCGGGAUGAUAAUGACAGUACCGGGAGAAUAAGCUCCGGCUAACUCCGUG
rnacentral:rRNA from 1 species